UUUUCUGCUAUAUCAUCUAGUACUUACUAUUGUGGUGUUUCUGGUUUAACUUGUCGAACCAGUUGUUUAGGACAUCGUGUUUGACAUAUGUCCCUUGAGGAAUAUAAUUUCAUAAAGUUGUCACAAGAAAUUACAAUAUGAGUUACAAGAAAAUAUACUUUGGAGGUCCCAAACAAAAUCCUAUUUCUACCCAAGUAUUUUCAAAUCUCUUCAACUCUCAAUAUAAGAAUUCCACAUAUCUGAGGUGUUUAAAGUGUUUCCCA
rnacentral:lncRNA from 1 species